rnacentral:rRNA from 1 species
AGUCGAACGAGAGAAGAGAAGCUUGCUUUUCUGAUCUAGUGGCGGACGGGUGAGUAACACGUGAGCAAUCUGCCUUUCAGAGGGGGAUACCGAUUGGAAACGAUCGUUAAUACCGCAUAACAUAAUUGAACCGCAUGAUUUGAUUAUCAAAGAUUUAUCGCUGAAAGAUGAGCUCGCGUCUGAUUAGCUAGUUGGUAAGGUAACGGCUUACCAAGGCGACGAUCAGUAGCCGGACUGAGAGGUUGAUCGGCCACAUUGGGACUGAGACACGGCCCAGACUCCUACGGGAGGCAGCAGUGGGGAAUAUUGCACAAUGGAGGAAACUCUGAUGCAGCGAUGCCGCGUGAGGGAAGAAGGUUUUAGGAUUGUAAACCUCUGUCUUCAGGGACGAAAAAUGACGGUACCUGAGGAGGAAGCUCCGGCUAACUACGUGCCAGCAGCCGCGGUAAUACGUAGGGAGCGAGCGUUGUCCGGAAUUACUGGGUGUAAAGGGAGCGUAGGCGG